rnacentral:sRNA from 1 species
GAGGGGAGAGCGACUAGGCCCUGUCUGCGGGUACCUUCGGCGAGGAGAGGCGACGAAGGUCUGCACCAACGAAGCUUCACAAAAGAUGUCUAAGGUGAAUCAGGUCUAGGAAAAUCGACUCUCAUAAACAGCCUAUUCCUAACUGAUCUGUACCCAGAAAGAGUCAUACCUGGAGCAGCAGAAAAAAUUGAAAGAACCGUCCAGAUUGAGGCUUCAACUGUUGAAAUUGAAGAGCGAGGGGUCAAGCUACGCCUGACAGUGGUAGAUACCCCUGGCUAUGGUGACGCUAUCAACUGCAGAGAUUGUUUUAAGACAAUUAUCUCCUAUAUUGAUGAGCAAUUUGAGAGGUACCUGCAUGACGAGAGCGGCUU